ACGGAAGGCAGCAGUGGGGAAUAUUGGACAAUGGGCGAAAGCCUGAUCCAGCGACGCCGCGUGAGUGAAGAAGUAUUUCGGUAUGUAAAGCUCUAUCAGCAGGGAAGAUAAUGACGGUACCUGACUAAGAAGCACCGGCUAAAUACGUGCCAGCAGCCGCGGUAAUACGUAUGGUGCAAGCGUUAUCCGGAUUUACUGGGUGUAAAGGGAGCGCAGGCGGUACGGCAAGUCUGAUGUGAAAGCCCGGGGCUCAACCCCGGUACUGCAUUGGAAACUGUCGAACUAGAGUGUCGGAGGGGUAAGCGGAAUUCCUAGUGUAGCGGUGAAAUGCGUAGAUAUUAGGAGGAACACCAGUGGCGAAGGCGGCUUACUGGACGAUAACUGACGCUGAGGCUCGAAAGCGUGGGGAGCAAACAGGAUUAGAUACCCUGGUA
rnacentral:rRNA from 2 species